rnacentral:lncRNA from 1 species
CUCCUCCUGCCCCCCGCCCUUGGACUGCCCGCGCCUCCCGGUGAUCCAGGAGCUGCCGGUACCCACGGCAGCGGGAUCCAGGUUCCAGCAGCUGACCGUGGAGAAGCUGGGAUAUGGAGGGGUUGCUGUCACUCCAGAGAUUCCAGAGGCAUCAUCUCACCUUGGAGAAGCUGGGAUACAGAGGUGUCACUGUCACUCCAUAGAUUCCAGAAGCAUCAUCUCACCUUGGAGGAGUUGGGAUAUGGAGGUGUCACUGUCACUCCCAAGAUUCCAGAGGCAGCAGCUGACCGUGGAAAAGCUGGGAUAUGGAGGCAUUGCUGUUACUCCAGAGGCAUCAUCUGACCUUGGAGAAGUUGGGAUAUGGAGGGGUCGCUGUCACUCCCGAGAUUCCAGAGGCAUCAUCUGACCUUGGAGAAGCUGGGAUACAGAGGUGUCCCUGUCACUCCAGAGAUUCCAGAGGCAGCAGCUGACCUUGGAGGAGUUGGGAUAUGGAGGUGUCACUGUCACACGUCACCACAGAGAGGUGGCCCAGUCUAAAGGCCCUGUGGCACCAGCUGGCACUGGGAGCCAUCCUGGGAGGUGUGGCCCGAGCUGAUGGGAUGUGCUGGGCUCUCCUGGAGAAGAUCCUGGGCAGUCUUGGGUGGUCUCUCGUGCCCAGUGGGAUUUGACAGCCCCAAAGCUUCCUGGGUUGUGCUGGGAAAAACCAGGAUCCGGUGUUGGGAAAACCAGGCCGAGGCUGCACUUCACCAGGAAUUCCAGCAGAGGAGGCCACAGGAGACACGGGAAUGCCGAGGGGAAGGAGUGGCACUCGAGGGACCUCGGGGUGGCACAGAGGGAGCUGUUCCCUCCUUCCAUGGGAAUGGACCUGGGGCUGGACCUGGGGCUCGGGGGAGGCCUGGAAGGACCAAAACUGAGACCUGGAGCUUGGGGGGUCUCCAUCCCUGCAUCCCAACACAUCCAUGGAUCCCUGCAUCCCAGCUCUGCCUCCAGGUGUUCCCUGGAAUCUCAGGGGCUCCUUCCUGGUUUCAGGAAUUUGGGGGCUCAGUCCUUGUGUGGGUGUGGCCGUUCCCAAAGCCCUGCUGGCCCUCAGGAGCUACUCCCCACUGGGAUGUGGGGACAGAGACACUGGAAUGUGCUGGGGACAUUCCUUUGGGAGCCACCCCAAGGGCAGCUGGGGCCCUCUGGGCUGGGAUUUUGGGAAUUCUCACUGCCCAGAGGGUUCAGGAGACUGAAAUCCCAGGGCAGCAGGACCCCAGCACGGCUAAGGACUGGGAAAGGCUCCAGGUGCUGAAAUCGGGGAAUUGGAGGAUAAAAAAUGGAAUUGCAGGGAAAGGAUCUCCGGGGGAACUCCUGCCCAGGUGAGUUUAAAUUGAUCAAAACACCUCAGACCUGGGAUGGGAAACCUCACCUGGAACGUUCAGCUGGGAUGGCAGCAGGCAGGGAAGGUUGGAUUUGUGGGAUAAUCUGCACAAGGAGGAUGUGGAGCUGCUGGAGAGUCCAGAGGAGGCCAUGGAGCCAGGCUGGGAGAGCUGGGAAUGUUCCCCUGGAGAAGGGAAGGCUCCAGGCAGAGCUCAGAGCCCCUGGCAGGGCCUGGAGGGGCUCCAGGAGAGCUGGAGAGGGACUGGGGACAAGGAUGGAGGGACAGGAGCCAGGGAAUGGCUCCCAGUGCCAGAGGGCAGGGAUGGGUGGGAGAUUGG